ACUGACGCUUUAAACGUCUCAGUGAUGGUUCAUGGUGGAACCUCCACCUCCGCCAUAGAUCCGCUCCGUGGCUCAGUGUGUUCGGCUGGUCAUCAGCGGCCUGGCAGGAAACAUGGAGGCUGAUCUUAAACUUGACAGCCAGGCUGGAUUUCUGUAACUCGCUCUAUCUUGGGCUUAGUGGUGCAUCCGUCACCUUUUAACUGGACCAGGAAGCUCUGAGCACAUUACCCACAGUCUGACUUCUCUUCAUUGGUUGCUUUUACAUUUUAGGAUCCGUUUUAAAGUUCUCUUCUUUGCUUUUUACAUGCAAUGUGUUAAAGUACAGGACAUUUCCAUUUGAGUGUAAGUGGAUCUGGAUUAAAUCUCUUUAUUUAGUCAUUUUUCACAGCAGGACAUAUAGAUGAACAAGAAGCCACGUCAUAAAAAAACAUCUAAAUCUUUACAAGUUUUCUUAAGUAUUUAGAACAAAAAGUCACAAUUAUGCAUUGUGAGCUUUAUGUUGAAAUCCCAUCCAUACCACAUAUGGGCAGUGACGUCACGCAGUGACCUGUACUUUGCUCAAGCUGAGAGGUUUGGAUCGCCACCAUCAGCAGGGUGACAGCAGAACCUUUGUGACCCAAACACACAGCAUUCACCU